CUUCACUUUUUUGGUAGAUUUACCGCGAAGGUAAAAUUUAAAUAUGUACUCAUUUCUUUUCAUCACGACCCCCCCCCCCUUAUGUCGUGCAUGCUGUAUCGUUAAUAACUGCCAACGAUCACUAUUCAAAUACAAAACAACAAAUCUUCUUUUUCCAAAGGAAGCAAAAUGAAAUGAAAUAAUACAAAAUAUAUUAAGAGGAAGACCAGCAUUUCUUCGUUUAUUACCUUAAGCGGUGGUUGCUGGUUCUAUUAAAUUUCAUCCUCUGCUUCCUCCGCAAUCAGUUUCUCUAUGCUGUAUUGCUGCAUCCUAAGCCGGAGCAGUGUUGACAAAUAUCACUGUAUGGUAGACCAGCUCUCUUACAAGAGCAGCGGUUACUACAGCCUUUAGAACAUGUACAUGAGAUGAUGUGUGAAAGUACUAGGGAGGCAGGCGGGCUGAGCAUAGGCACAGGUAGAAGCCCGAGUUCCGAAGAUGUCCAUCACUCCAUCCCCAUUCCUUGGGAUUCAGUUUACUUCCUCUCCAGAGUUAAACUUUAAAGUAUAAGCGUAGGAAGUGUUGUUUGCACGCAUCUAAAGUUGGGGGCAACACUUGCAGUUUCACCUCAGUUUUUAGUGUUUUUCCCCCUACCUCCCCCCCCCCCGAGGGAGGGACAAACAUUUUGACUCCCCCUAGAGGACAGUCUUCUAAAAGAUAGAAACAUUCCCAAAGUUUCGUUUUUCUAUCUCUAACCGUUCUAAAGUUACAAGGGGGGUACCGACUUUUGAGUCACCCUGUAUAUAGAUUUUCUCAGAAAAUUGCUUGAUUGACUAGACUACAAGCCACAUUCAUCUCCCACAUUCAGCGUGUGAUUGCGAUAUGAGUCAGCCGCUUUUCGUGGCGACUUUUUAUUCGUUAGCCGGAAUAUGAGCGCAUGACUCUCAUGUAUUUUUUAAGUGAUUUUUUCCGCCACGUCUACGUCUAUUCACCAUUCAGGUGUAGCCAUUCUUUACUCUAUGACCUCCUUCCUUUGUGAGUGUUCUAAUGUAUAUAUAUUGAAGCUGUUUUAUUCUGAGGCCAAGAAGCAGUCUCAAUCACUGGUGGACUGGAGAGGAAUUCUCAUCAGGGAUGAAGCCCAAAAAGUCCUGUUACACGCGCUACGUUUUGACGCUAUUUACUUUGAUGUUACUUCACAGUCAUGGAGAAGCGUGACACCUCCAGCAGAUGUCCCUGCGGAUAGUAAGCGUUGCUACGAGAAUGGACGGGGGCGCAUCGCCACGUCAUCCUCACCAAAAACACCUCUCUUAAGUCUUGGAUAAAGAAUAGCGUAUCUCAUCCUAAUCAUUCAGGAAUCGCACCUCUUGUUAAUCAACCAUAUAAACCACCACCUACAUGAAACUGGAAAAUUCAAAAGAAACAGCCUAGAAGGCCUUGAAACAUCUCCCCAAGAAGACGUCAACGUUUAGAGAAAAGUCGUUUCGAAACUUCGCUGAAGAAAUCCGCCUUGUUUCAAUGAAAGGACAGAUGGAAGAAACGUGCGACUUAUCCGCCCAGGACUUUAUUUUUUUUCUUUUUCCUUUUUUAAAUGAAAUUAAUGAUGCAUUUUUACCAAUACAGGGUCUAAAAUUAAAUGUGAGACUGAAUAAACACUCGUCGUCACCAAACGAACUCUCCAUAAAUAUCCGCACAAAUUGCUCCUCAUGCAGCUUGUGGUCGGAAAAAAUCAUUGCUCAGAAAAAAAAAAAAUAAUUAUCGUAAUCAUAAUUUUGGUUUCUUGACUAAAAAAUACAUUUAUGCAUCAAGCCGGCUCCAGCGCGAAUGUGUAUGAAUGAUUUGAAAGUGAGAGAACAGUAUUUGAGGAAUUAUUAGUGCCUUUUGUAAAAAGUAUAGUGUGAUCAUCAAUCAUGAUGAUAUCUGGAUUUCAGGAGGGUGAUUUUUAGUCCAGAAGUUACCUCGGUGAACUUGCUUGUUGGCGGUACAUGUUACGAUUGUUACGGUUUUUAUGGAGUGUUAAUUUUGGCACUGAGCAACAUUACUCUCGUAAAUUCCACAUUUACUCACACGACUUAUUAUUAAAUGUCUGCCUUAUAAAGGAAUACUUGAAAAUUUCACGAAUUUGGCACUGGUUUUUACUGAGCGUUACUUUGCGGUUUCUCUACUUUAUCUUGCAGAAUCAUAAGCAUACCCAUCCCCUAAAUCGUCCAUUGCUGUUAGAUGGAUUUUUAAUUUGAACAUUAUUAAUUACUUUCUGUGAUUUGAAGUUUUUAAAUGCAUAGCGAUCACCUGAGAUUUUUCUUAUCAUUGUGAAAGUAUUUUAAAGAAAGUUAAUAACAUGAUGUUUCCAAUAUGCUUCGUAUUCUUUGUUUCUUUUGUCACUGUAGAAACAGGAAAGCUAUAAAAUCUCGUAUCAUCCUGAAUUUAAUAACAAGUACAGUCCGAAAGGAGGGAAUCUCAGCACAAAAGAUCAAUCGUCAAACAAAUCAAUCGUCGCACAAAGAUCAAGAAUUAUUUGAACAUAACUCUCGUAAAUUCCACACUUAUGCUCACACGACUUAUUAUUAAAUGUCUGCCUUAUAAAGGAAUACUUGAAAAUUUUACGAAUUGUCGGGGUCUGAAUAUGAACAAAUAAAGGACAAUAUGAAAAUAUUCUAAAAUUCCCUAAAAAUUACUUU
rnacentral:lncRNA from 1 species